rnacentral:rRNA from 1 species
AUUGAACGCUGGCGGCAGGCCUAACACAUGCAAGUCGAGCGAGCGGCGGACGGGUGAGUAAUGUCUGGGAAACUGCCUGAUGGAGGGGGAUAACUACUGGAAACGGUAGCUAAUACCGCAUACUCUCAGAUGCGCACAGAGGGGAUUAGAUAGGAGGUGGGGUAAUGGCGCACCUAGGCGACGCCCCCUAGCUGGUCUGAGAGGAUGACCAGCCACACUGGAACUGAGACACGGUCCAGACUCCUCCGGGAGGCAGCAGUGGGGAAUAUUGCACAAUGGGCGCAAGCCUGAUGCAGCCAUGCCGCGUGUAUGAAGAAGGCCUUCGGGUUGUAAAGUACUUUCAGCAGGGAGGCGUUACCCACAGAAGAAGCACCGGCUAACUCCGUGCCAGCAGCCGCGGUAAUUC